rnacentral:rRNA from 1 species
UACGUAGGUGGCGAGCGUUGUCCGGAAUUACUGGGUGUAAAGGGAGCGCAGGCGGGGAGACAAGUCAGCUGUGAAAUAUAUGGGCUUAACCCAUAAACUGCAGUUGAAACUGUUUUUCUUGAGUGGAGUAGAGGUAGGCGGAAUUCCGAGUGUAGCGGUGAAAUGCGUAGAUAUUCGGAGGAACACCAGUGGCGAAGGCGGCCUACUGGGCUCUAACUGACGCUGAGGCUCGAAAGUGUGGGGAGCAAACAGG